rnacentral:rRNA from 1 species
UUGAGAGUUUGAUCAUGGCUCAGAUUGAACGCUGGCGGCAGGCCUAACACAUGCAAGUCGAACGGUAACAGGAAGAAGCUUGCUUCUUCGCUGACGAGUGGCGGACGGGUGAGUAAUGUCUGGGAAACUGCCUGAUGGAGGGGGAUAACUACUGGAAACGGUAGCUAAUACCGCAUAACGUCGCAAGACCAAAGAGGGGGACCUUCGGGCCUCUUGCCAUCGGAUGUGCCCAGAUGGGAUUAGCUAGUAGGUGGGGUAACGGCUCACCUAGGCGACGAUCCCUAGCUGGUCUGAGAGGAUGACCAGCCACACUGGAACUGAGACACGGUCCAGACUCCUACGGGAGGCAGCAGUGGGGAAUAUUGCACAAUGGGCGCAAGCCUGAUGCAGCCAUGCCGCGUGUAUGAAGAAGGCCUUCGGGUUGUAAAGUACUUUCAGCGGGGAGGAAGGGAGUAAAGUUAAUACCUUUGCUCAUUGACGUUACCCGCAGAAGAAGC